CCAAAGCCGCAUCCAAUCUCCAACGGAAAAAGUCUGAAAAUAACCUUGAUUUCGUUCUCCAAGUCUGAAUCAAACCCUGAAGUCUGAAUCCCUGAAAUUGUCACCCUGUAUUUUUUGAUCCCGGUUUAUCCCGGCUGAUUAGUGCUAAAAGCUGGUUUGGCCUUCAGGAUUGCUUACGUGGCAGGGAUUAGGGGUUAAUUGGAUGCAAUGCUAUACUGACUGCGGGCCCUUCCAGUACUCACUUAAGUUGAAGCGGCGGGGGGAAAUUAAGGGCUUGAGCAGGGGAACCAAAUUAGGGAUCGUUGGUAGGCUGGAGACGGGCGGCGGCGGCGGCGGCGGCGGUUACUCAAGCAGGAGGUGGGCUUCGGCAGUAAUCGACGACGUCUUCCUCCUCCCGCGCGUCGUACUCAGGCGGAGGUCGUGGGCGCAUGGCUCCAUCAAGGUCGUCCGCGCCGUACUGCGAGGACGCCAUGGCGUACGAGCCGGCAGUGGAAUGCCACUGUAAGAAGAUUCUACUGCUGCGUUCAUGGAAUUGUAAGAGAUGGCUGUGGAUUUUUUUUUCAGCGGCAUGAUGAUCCCUGCUCCCCAUUUGUUGUACAACUACUAAUGGAUCUUUGGGAUGCAAUCAGGAGGUUUGAAGCUGCAUGUGGUGAUGGCUGGAAGCAAUGGAUAGAACAGAUGCAGAGAAAUGGAACAGAGGAUGCAUUGAGACAAUUAGUUCUGAAGAAAAAUGCAGAAGUUCAAGCAAAUAGGGCAAGAUGUGAUAGUUUAGAAAGAAAACAAAUGUCCAGCAUUGUGUUUUAUGGCAUGAUCAUGUUAGUGGCAGGUUUAUUUGCAAGAUUUGUCCUGCAUUGACAGCUAGAAGAUGAAUGUAAUGUCAAAAUUUUGUACUAGCAGAAUGAUGUAAUCGUUGGAUGAUGGAAUGGUACUUCAUAUUGUUGGAUGAUGUUA